AGUGAACGCUGGCGGUAGGCCUAACACAUGCAAGUCGAACGGCAGCACAGUAAGAGCUUGCUCUUACGGGUGGCGAGUGGCGGACGGGUGAGGAAUACAUCGGCAUCUACUUUUUCGUGGGUGAUAACGUAGGGCAACUUACGCUAAUACCGCAUACGACCUACGGGUGAAAGCAGGGGAUCUUCGGACCUUGCGCGAUUGAAUGAGCCGAUGUCGGAUUAGCUAGUUGGCGGGGUAAAGGCCCACCAAGGCGACGAUCCGUAGCUGGUCUGAGAGGAUGAUCGGCCACACUGGAACUGAGACACGGUCCAGACUCCUACGGGAGGCAGCAGUGGGGAAUAUUGGACAAUGGGCGCAAGCCUGAUCCAGCCAUACCGCGUGGGUGAAGAAGGCCUUCGGGUUGUAAAGCCCUUUUGUUGGGAAAGAAAAGCAGCAGGUUAAUACCCCGCUGUUCUGACGGUACCCAAAGAAUAAGCACCGGCUAACUUCGUG
rnacentral:rRNA from 1 species